GAUGAAGAACGUAGCGAAAUGCGAUAAGUAAUGUGAAUUGCAGAAUUCAGUGAAUCAUCGAAUCUUUGAACGCACAUUGCGCCCCCCAGUAUUCUGGCGGGCAUGCCUGUUCGAGCGUCAUUUCAACCAUCAAGCCCUGCUUGUGUUGGGGUCCUGCGGCUGCCCGCAGGCCCUGAAAACCAGUGGCGGGCUCGCUAGUCACACCGAGCGCAGUAGCACAUCUCGCUCAGGGCGUGCGGCGGGCUCAAGCCGUUAAAGCACCCACCUUUCGCAAGGUUGACCUCGGAUCAGGUAGGAAUACCCGCUGAACUUAAGCAUAUCAAUAAGCGGAGGA
rnacentral:misc_RNA from 1 species